GGUCGUCAGUCGAACUGCCCACGCGAGUGCCGCGUCGUAUUUGUGUUGUUUACAUCGGCGUCGCCGGCGCUCAGGAAUUUCUGGAGGAGCAGCAGCGGCCGAACGGAACUCGUGGGUGGAGGCUCUGCUAUUGCGGAAGGGAAGCUGGAACGACGCUGGGGGAAGCCGAACCCACCGCCACUGGCGCAGUUCACGCAUCCGUAAGUACAGCAGCUGUUCUGCAUGUCCA